ensembl:lncRNA
AUUUUGGACAGCGUUGCGUUUUGAGCUAUUUGGCGAUUUUGCAGUUAGGUCUCAUUUAUUGACCGAUAUAAUCGCACCUUCUUUUCUGAGUGUGAAGUGCAGGAGCAGGAAGAUGAGAACCUUGCACUAUCAGAUUACGUCACCACUUUAGGACUAAUCUCACUCUAAUCUCACUCUCUUUGACUCGGUCAAAGAGAUGAUUUGAGUCCGCCCUCGCAUGGAAUUAAUCAUUUCGUUGCAGAUGGUAUUUCUCUUGUGAAAUGGACUGAAAAUACCUCGCUUGAUAGAAUGCUAGGACCAGGCGGUGUCGGUUUAUGGAAUAUCUCAAAUGGUCGAGUAGGCUAUGGACCUCCACCAAAUGUCUCUAUUAUUGGCAAUGUAAAAGCUCUAAACUUCCGGGGCCAAGCAGUCGAAGGGGGCGUGUCACAGAAAUAUUCAUAAUUUCCCAUCGAUUUGCGCCCUCAAAAAAGAUACUGAAAGGUCACAAAAUCGGUCUGUCUGUUAACAAUAGUGCCUACCAAUGUUGGUUACAAUUCAUGGUUGAUUGUUAAAUAGUAGGCCUAAUUGCAAGUAGAAUAGCCUAAAAGUAUAAUUAUAGAGUAUAUUUUGGUACUGUUGACGCCAAAACAUGACAAAGAAGUCUAUUCAUGGGGACUUUGAAGAACAUUCACAUGAAUUGCCAUUAACGAGUAUUCCACGCAUACGUUUUUUAAUAGUAGAAAAUGUUGGUGAAAGCAGACAUUAGAAAACAUACCACCCGCCCCCUUAACUUGGUAGAAUCAAACCAACACCAUUGAAAUAUAAUGGACGAUUACUGGUGAGCUGAAUCAAAACGAGAUCACCGAGGCAUUAUCUGGUCCAAUUGAUUUGGAAGAGCAAGCGGCCGCAGAGGACCGCGAGGAUGAGCCCGAUGCCGAGGGCCGCGUUGUUCAGACGGCGCGCUACGGCGCUCUUCGCCCCGGCAGCCUGCAGAUCACCACGAUCUAUCGCCUUCCUUGUCUGCGAAACGCACGCACACGCACACGCACACACACACACACACACACACACACACACACACACACACACACACACACACACACACACACACACACACACACACACACCAAGGGGGUUGGGAGAGAACAACAACCGUGACUGGCACGAAAUCAACCCAACUCUGACCUUUUUGGCCAAAGCCUCGAAGAAUGGUAACAAUUAUGUGGGAAGGCGGACAAUGACAAUGGGUUCUGGCUUCUGUUAACUUAGUUACUGAAACUAGCACAAUGGACAUCUGUUGAUGUGACUGAGGCUACCCUCAAUCGUUUUAUUGUGGAUCCAAGAGAAGGUGUUUUCUCUUGAUUGAGGCCAAUAUAAAUCAUAAUUAUUGUUUGCAAAGUCCACUAUUUAGGUAGCAUCACCUGAAGCAUUGGCGCGCAUAGUUUAAACAAAGAUGAGAGUAACAAACCAGGAUAUGACACCAUGACAACUUCCUCUAUAUGCAUUGUUGGGAAAUUAUGAGUCAUCUUUCAAACCAUACCGCUUCCAACAGCUGCUUUGCGUUAGUCCACUUUAGAUGAGAGAUUCAAAACACUUUCAUUUUCUGAAGCUGCAAAGUAGCCCAAGUCUAAGUGCAAACAACCACGAAAACCAGCAGUUUUAUUGUUAAGGUGAACUUUGUGUUUGGUGUAUCAAAUAUGGAUCUUUCCGGGCAACAUGCGAGGACAUUUGGGGUGAGAUGAGAGUGCAAUGAAGACGGUAAUGAACCAAGGGGAGAUAAUUCAAGUAAUAAGAGGAAGUAGAUAGGUUACAGCGCCAUGGCAAUUCAAUUAUACGUAAUGAUUCAUUAGUUCACAGGUCAUUAUCUACUAUAAUCUAUGAAUACUGGGGACAAAGCAACAACAUCAAUUGGGAGAUACAGGAAAUAGAGAUAGGAACAGUUUGGCACAAGAGUCAUAAACAACUUUAUAGUUGUUUAUAGACAGCUAGGCAUAUAUAGAACUUCAUAAAUGGUUAUACAUCAAACUUAUUUUUUAUAAAAUAACCAACUUGAAGAUGGUAUAUAUGUGACUCAGUUUGCGAAAAAUGUAAAACCCUUCGUCUUAUUUCUCCUGCCAAAUUACCUUCAGUGUUUGCGUGUGUGUGUUUCUUUUUUUAUUCGAUUUCUCUGCAAAUUAUUAUAACAAAUAAAUGAGUGCAAAGACCACAUGUAUUAAACUCAAAUGUUUGUAACUUUAUUCAUGCAUAAAUGUGAUACAUGUAUCACAAAUGAUGUAGGCCUAUGAACAUUUAUACAUCAUACAACGUUUCACAAUGUAAAAACCUGCUAAGAUGUGUAUGUUUAAAGGGUAUAAAAUGUGAGGAUUUCGUAGUGAAAUACAGAAUAUAGUAAAUAUGGAGGAAAGCAUAAAUGCUUUGCAGCAGUGAGACAACGCUGAAUUUAUUUUUGCACAACUUUUGGCUGGCCACGUGUUCUUCGUGCAAAGACAGAGCAGAAAAAAAAAAAAUUCUUUCAUAUGAUCAAAAUUUUACUGGAGGAUUGACAUCAGUAAUGGACGUUGUAGUUGGAAAAUUGAUAAAUAUGCACAUAUCGUUUAAACUUUAAAUUAUUUUCCUUUGUUGGUUUCGAAAUUCCGAAACUUUAUAAUCAACUUAAUAUAUUUCUUCGAAAAGUGCUGCAGUAUAAAACGUCUAAGGCCUAAGCAUAUGCUAACAACGCUACAUAUUUAAAGACGUAAAUGUUGAGUAAAAUACCAAUGGGCCUACACCAACUGCGCAAUCUUAAACCUUAAAACAAAAUUACUUGAUUGGAUCAAAAGAUCAACAAACUUAGAUUGGGGCUGAUUAGCGAGUAUGGUAUGAGUGAAAGAUAGAUGUUCAUGCUAGAUAUUCUCUAAACCGAGACUAAACCGAGAUAGUCCAAUUAGACUAAUCUAGUGAUGGUGUACAGGACGAUGAGGGCUAUUCCGAUUCCCAGAGCCACGUGGUUCAGCGUUCGGGCCGUUUUGCUCUUCCUCUCCGCGGUGAUCUGGUCGCCGGCCAUUUUGGCAUCACGGGUCUAAAUGAGGGGGAGGGUGUGAGGGGGGGUGGAGGUUGGACACAUGAGGGGCGUAAGGAAGGAGGAGAAUAGCAAGACAAAUUGUGAGAUUAGAGCAAGCCCCCGAGAGCACUUUAAUCAUGGACCUAUUAAAGGGACACUGUGUAAAAAUUACUCCCAUCUAGUGGUACAAUUGUAUAUUGCAUUCAAACUAAUAGUGCUCGCUUGUUCAAAAACUACGGUGGGCAGUAUUUGCCAAGAAGCUGUGUCAUGACAUCCAAUACUACAUCAUCGAGUCAUUCGAGUGAUGAUGAGGUUCGUUAUUCGAAACAAAUUUCAAACUGCAUUGAAUCAUUAGUGUAAGCUAAUGAUGUAUGAGUAAUUAUUCCUCGAGCAAGAUACUGAAGUAUUUCAGUCAUCAUUCACGCUGGCUCAGAGUGAAAACACGUUUGAAUUUCCUGUAACACCUAGUGCUUUUUGUCCCUCUCGGCAGUUCAUAGACCGGAAGAACAUGGAAGCCUCCAUGAAGCUUACCCGUCCUAUGUAACUACAUAUUAAUUUUUCUUCGCUCAGGAGGAUGAGUGAGAUUUUUGUCAGAGAUAAUUUUACACCAAUGAGGACUUAUUUAUGAAUGAAUACGUUGAUUUGAGGUAAUAAAUGACUGAAAAUAUUACACAGUGUCCCUUUAAAGAAGACUUUAAUAGGUCCAUGUGGGAGCAAUGCAUACUGCCGCAAUCCACCAGUGCUCAGCGGCCAAGCCUGGUAUUGCAGCUGUUUAAGCGGGCUGUGGACGGGUCCCUCGAUUCAAGGGGCCCAGAAGUAGACCGUUCCCUCCAAUACAAGUGGGGACCAGGAAUGUGUCUCCGCAAAAAAUGUCUGGAUAUCAAUCAAAGGCUCAUAAUUAUCUUUAUACCAUGUACUAAUAAAAUGUAAGUUUUCUCUUUUCAAAACGCCACCUCAAGCGUUUUAUUUUUUGCAGGAGAAGGAGAGGUGGGCAGCUGAGAAGGAGUUGAGGUGAAAAAAAUGUUGUUUCGGCCAGGCAUCCGAGAGGGCUCAGUGCCCUCCGUUAACUUGUCGUGUCCGAGGUUUUUCCUUUUACUUAACAUACAUGACGUUGAUGGUUUUUGGGUGCUUUGUUGACUUUUUAUCGCUUAAAGUCGCCGAGGGAUGUAUAGACCGACCUCUCGCUUAUGAUGCUACAAUGCUACACACCGAAAUAUUUCUGCAUCCGGCAUGCAUGCACUAGGGCGUGGCUGGCUCCCAAGAUGCCAUUUUUGAAUCCGCUGUCCUUUCUUUAAUAGGUCCAUGGAUUAGAGCCCCCCAAAAAAAAUUAAAUUGUUCAGCACAGCCAAUGACAAGAAGGAUUAGUUUGUGACGGAGUUAGCAACAUUAGCGAAUAAUGAAGAAGAGGAAAAGGGUGAGGCGUAUUGUAUUUGAAAGACAGAGUUUAUUAGACUUGGGCGGUAUUAUGGUAUUAUACCAGGAUUUUAGAAAUACAGUCUAGGGCUGGGCGAUUAAUCGUAUUUUAAUUGUAAUUUCGAUCUUAGCGUAAAACGAUCACAAAAUUAAUAUAAUCACGUUUUUACUUUUAUUUUAUUUUUUUAUUAAAUGUUUUAUAGAAAGUGCAGUCUAGAACAGCUGGAUACAUAUUCAUUAUUUUGGUUUGAACAUGUUCUUUUUGACCAUUUUGUGUAUUUUUUUUAAGGCUAAAUUUCACAGUUCUCAGUUACAUAGGGUUUUUUGGGAGCGACUGGCUGAAUAAAUACAUCAUGUUUUCAAACUCAAAAAUAAUCGUUUGUAUAAUCGUGAUUUUAAUAUUGACCAAAAUAAUCGUGAUUAUGAUUUUUCCCAUAAUCAAGCAACCCUACCGACGGCAUUAGGCCAGUGGAGCACCGGCUUGAAUCAAACGCACAUUAAUCGGUUAAUACCGGUCAAACUGCCUUGACAUACGUGGAGUUGCCCAUCUAUUCAUUGUUCUAUGGGUUUUUGGUGUUUGAUCCCAGCAAGACUUGUCUUGACUUGGCUAAUUGCAGGUUAGACAUGGACCUCUAUCACCAGCAGCUCAGCUUUGAAAUUACAUGGGUGAGAAUGAAAAACGAGAUGCCGCCCAAGCCCAGAGCUUUGGGAUAAAAAGACAAAUACCCAAAUGGCAGUACUUAGUAAUCAAGUGAUACCACAGGGAAAAAAGGUACAAAUGCAACUUUCUUGCAUUUUCAAUCUGCACAAACAUUUUCAAACUCCAUCUUUUUACAAAUGUUUGUAACUUUAUUCAUGCAUAAAUGUGAUAUAUUUAUCCAAAAUGAUGUAUGAACAUUAGUACAUCAUACAUUUAUUUAACAAACAUGAUUGACAACCGAUAUAUGUAAAAAUCUGCUAAGUUAAAGAUGUGUUUGUUUAAAUGGUAUAGAAUGUGAGGAUGUCUUAGUGAAAUCAAGAAUAUAGUAAAUAUGGUGGAAAGCAUAAAUGCUUUGCAGCAGUGACACAAUGCUGAACUUAUAUUUGCAUAACUUUUGGAUGUCCACGUGUUCUGCGUGCUGUAUCAAAGACCGAGCAGAAAAAACUAAAGGGAACACUGAUUGACAAGAGACUGUAAAAUGAUUAAUUUUGCUUUGAUACGAUCAACAUUUUAUAGGAGUAAAUGGACAUCGUAGUUGGAAAAGUGAUGAAAAAGCACAAAACUUAAAAAGCACAAAACUUUCAAACGUUAUAUUAUUUUCCUUUGUUGGUUUCGAAAAUUUUAAACUAUAAAAUUAAACUGUCGAAAGAUAUUUCUUCGGAAAAGUGCUGCAGUGUAAAACGUCUAACGCCUAAGCAUAUGCUAAUAACGCUACAUAGUUAAAGACAUAAAUGUUGAGUAAAAUACCAAUGAUAAACCAACAGUGCAAUCUUACACCUUAGAACAGAAUUACUUGAUUGGACCAAAAGAUCAACAAACUCAGAUUGGCGCUGACUAGCCAGUAUGGCAUGACUAAACCGAGAUAAUACAAUCAGAUUAUCAUACGGCUAAUACAACAAUCAUGCCGAUGAUGUAUAGGACGAGGAAGGUGAGGCCGAUCCCCAGAGCCACGUGGUUCAGCGUUCGGGCCGUAUUGCUCUUCCUCUCCGCAGUGAUCUGGUCGCCGGCCAUGUUGGCAUCACGGGUCUAAAGGAGGGGGAGGGUGUCGGAGGGGGGGAUGGAGGUGUGGUUGACACAUGAGGGGCGCAAGGAAGGAGGAGAAAAGCAAGACAAAGUGUGAGAAUAGAGCACUCCAAAAAAAAUUUAAACCGUUCAGCACAGCCAACGACAAGAAGGAUUAAUUUGUGACGGAGUUAGAGCAACAUUAGCGAAGAUUGAAGAAGAGGAAAAGUCGAUUGGCGGAAUAAAGGGUGGGGUGUAGAUCUCGUUGUUGAAAGACAGAGCUUAUUAGUCUUGGGCGGUAUUACGGUAUUAAACCAGGGUUUUUAGAACUACCGAUGGUAUGAGUUAAUACCUUGACAAAUAUAGAAGCUCCUCUUUCUAUUCAACCUUCAGACAUCUUAUGAAUACAUUUCUUAUUCUGUGUAUAAGUAUAUUUUUGCGAGGUUUGGAAGCAUGACCUAUUAUUAAAUCCAAAAUCAGUUCCGCCGCUUAGUUUGAAAGUAGACAUUUUAGAAAUUUAGAAAGAUAUUGUUUAUUCAACAGAUAUUCCUGCUCCGAAUCACGAGGGCAAGUAAAGCCACGUCCGCAGGCCUGCGUGUCUAGAGAGGUAUACCUGCCCAGGAGCUAGGCGGGAAGCAGCACUCCUCUCUACAGAGCCACAGUUUGGGAAUGAAAACGCUUAUAUCCAAAUAGCAGUAGUAAUCAAUUGAUACCAAAUGAAAAAAAGUGGCCAAUGGAAGUUUACUUUCAUUUUCUGCACAAAGAAAAGUCAACUUCAUCUUUAAGGUGAAAUUAAGCGUCUCUGCUGCUUUUCAACUUAUUGACCGGCUUCUCGUGCACCGUGCCUAAAAACCUCUGCUUCAAGAUGCAGAACCAACCACUGCUACUAGCCGUUUGCUACAGCCGUUGUUACGCAAAUGCUUUGGUAUUGCGAGAUUGGAAACAGCUGUGGGCCUGCUGCCGUACAUGGCGUUGUUGUGCUAAGACACCAAACCAGAGCCCAGUUCCCCUCCAGCACUUGAGACCUCACUAACAUGGCUGCCCAAUCAGGCUGACUGCAGCUGGGCGGCAGCUUUUCUAACCAAAUCCAUCAUGUGCUCUAAAAGAAACUGCACCGUUUCCUUCCAUCCCACAGAGCGGGAAGAUGCUUUGAUUUAUGAUGUGUAUAGAGGCGUAGGAUGCAUAUAUGGAGAGGAUAGCAUUUAAAAUGACCUUGUAAAGACAUAAAAGAAGGUGUAUGAAAAGAAUAAAACACCAGGCCCGUAUCAUUAUCAAAACACUGUCACAAUAAACCGCUCUUUCAACAUCAGCACCCUGAGUCCUUUGUCUGGAGUUUGGCACAGGCAUUGCAACACUGGUAGGUGUGGCUCACCUGGCCACAUCAUGACAGACUCUACCAGGUGAGGCUACUUAAACCAGCCAUCAUCCACACACACUCACACACACACACAUUAUCAAUUUAUAAUGAUGAAAAUAAUAAUAGCUUCUUUUUUUUAAAGCGCUUAUCUUGGUACUCAAAGACGCUUUACAAAAAGGGAUACAUACAGACAGUACAGACACUCAAACAAGAGGCAAAUAAAC